AUUAUUAUUAUUUUAAGGAAAAUUUUGUAUAAUAAUUUAACUUUUACUAAGUUGCAAACAUUCCUUUGCAAAUUGUUAUUGUAAAACGCAUGUCAACAUGAAAUUCAGUUUUGUAAUUGUAACUCAUUUUGGCCCACUGUACAAUGUUUGCUAACUUGGCAAAGGCGACAAUGACAUUGAAAUUGUCUUGAGGUGCUGUAGUUCGCAUUACCGUGGCUGCAUUGUGAUCAGAAUUUAUAAGCAGAAAAUAAGAUCAGGGACUGCUGCCGGGGGAGGAGCAAAGAGAAGCCAAGCCAGAGGUGUGAAGCGCUUCUAUUAUAUGAAAUCACAGCAUCGGCGUGUUAUCAAUGUUCACUAGACACGUUCUGAGUAAUAUUUGAGCAAUGUAAAGGAUGAAGCCUUACAAACUUAAUGAAAGACUAAUUUUUUGUCAAAGUGCAAGCCUACGGAACGUGCGUUAAAUAUGCGAGAAACGUAUGUUUCGCAGCUUGGGGCGACAAAAAGAGAUUUAGACACUAGCAAAAAAAACUGCCAUAAUUGUAUCACGUGUAGGGCUUGAAGCAGGAGGGGCAUUGCACUUCAUAAACAAUGCUAAAAGGCGUUGAGGAUUCGCACAAGAAAACUGGUGGUCAGGAAUGCAGCACAGAGAGAAGGCCUUCCUUCUAGCAGGCAGCACCCCAGCUCCAGCCCCAGGCACAAUCGCAAUCGCUUCUGUUCUGAGCCUGGUUGUCCCACUUCGGAAUGAUCAGGCAUGACUAUGACUGACAGCCCGAAUGCGAGGCUUCGUAAAAAGUUUCUGCUCUGGACAAACAGAGGUGGCCACGGACCGCUGGACGGCUUACGUUGAAUGCACAUAUCGAUCGUUGGCCGGUGACCGCCUCCAUCAUAAGCCAGGGGCGACACUUUUGGGCCAGUCCAGAUCGGGCCAACAGAAUAUUUUUAUACGCUCGCGUUCGUAAUAUAAAUGAGGUAGGCAUGCAGCAGCAUCAGCAUCAGCAUCAGCAUCAGCAACAGUAACAGCAACAGCAGCAGCAGUAGGAAUAUCAGGAUCGUGCCCAUCUUCAAUUCGAUCUCUCGAUUUCCGAUCCAAAGCGUUUUUUGUAACCAUUCGCUAAGUUUAGCGCGACGAAAAACGCGCGCGCCGUUCUCUUUCCUGGGCAUUUGGAUUUCGCGCUCGUUUCGAGGUUUUUGUAUCGCUUACCUGCAGAUAUACGAGCAUGUGCAACAGCGUCUGCGUUAGGCAAAGGAACUGAAUCUGCUCAAGGAGCGCGUCUUAGUGCAGACUCAGCUACUGCAAUGUUUCGUCGCGCUUUUAGCAUUUGAUUUGUGAUCCGGUUUUUGCGACUGCUACACGUUUGCCGCAUAAAUCAAGAUAUUGUCGGAGAAUCAGACAAGAUGAGAAGCAGCCCCAAACAUAUCUGGCCGUGCCUGAGAAAGCAAUCGAUGCGACAGAUAUUUUUAUGGCCGUAAUGUUGUUGUUUGAUACGAUUAGCGGCUUUAAAUGUUUGACAACGUAUAUAAGUGUUAAUUGACAUCGGAAUAUUCAAAAUAAUCCUCAAUAAUGGUUUUAGAUAAAUAAAAAACAAUUGUUAUAAAAGU